AGAUGCUAUAAAAAUGGCUUCGGCCAGACCCCAAUUCCCCACCAAAUCCACACCAAACCAGAUCCAAUUCAUAGUCCAGGUUAUCCAUCAUCAAUCUGAGUGGCUAGUUCGGUUCCUCUUGCCCCACGACUCUCUUCUGGCGGUAGGGAAGCCCAUCACCAACAGUCCAACAAUGGCAGGACUACUGGUGUUUUUAUUCCAGUAAAACAUGGACAAUUUCAAGCCGUGCUUAUCCUUAUCCAGUUAUCCUCACGAUCAUUGUCCUAGGAGAGAUAAGAAGGACCCGCCGGGCAUAACCAGGGGUCCAGCCCUAUUAAAGCAGAGGAGAGGAGGCGGAGAAAAAGGAGAGCAGAGGAAAAAAAAAAAAGCAGAGCAUCAAAAGACAGAGGAAGAGAAAAUCAGAGAGCAGACGAGAGGGAGGACCAGAAUCAAGCAGAGCAAGACACAGGAGAGGGAAUUUUGCCUUCCUUCAAAACUCCAGCAACUCAUGUCCCACACAGGGAAGUCCUUCUAGGAUCGCUGAAAUAGUGGCGGCGCGUUGCCCAACGCGCCAUCGCCACUGGCCGCGCGUGGAUUCACGCGCCACUGAUGAAGAUGGCAGAAACUGGUGGAUCGGGAACCUCUUCCUCUUCUGUCUACCUGCGCCGGCGGUGGGAAGUAACACCACCUGCAAAGCCAAGAAAACGCAACAAGCAAUGGUUUUUAUUUCAUUGUUUUCCUUCUCAGAUCUGCUCCCGGUCUUCUUUCUUCCCCUUAGUUUUCUGUUCUGUCCUUCAGAUGGCAGACCUGGCGGCUGAGGAAGGAGCGCUGGAGGCUGGAGGCCGGAGCUACCGGUGCAGUCGUGCGUGGGGGAGGAGCUGGAGACGCAGAUCUGCGGUGUGCAGAGGGCGACGGUGAUGGGAUGAGGAGACGCUGCUGCUGGCCGGUUGGUUGGAGAUCUGUAGUGGCCGGCUGCUGUAGGGAGGUGCAGAAGCCAGUUUCUGUCUGUGUUGCCAGAGAGGGAAGGUCUGGUGCUGGAGGGGAACAACUGGAAUGGAGAUGAGGGGAGUUUGUCUUCUGUGGAGGCCGAAUGGGUCGGCGCCUGUGAGAGGGAGAGGCUGGGUUUUGUGCAGCCGAGAGAGGGAAGGUCUAGUGAGGAAGGGGGCUGUGAACCAGUGGGUGUUGGUGUAGCAGCUGCUUUGGCCGAGGGAAAGGGAAAACUUUGGGCGGCGGCUUGGUUUUCAGAGGGAAGGGUUCGGCCGCUGUUCUGUGGGGGCAGGGGAAAAGGUGGCUUGUUUAGUUGGUUUGGCUGGUGAGCAGGGAUGAGAGCGGGUUGGUGGCGGCUAAAAGUGAAAAAAUGGCCAGCGGGAGGGGGCGGCUGCUGGCUUUGAAAGUGAUGGUUUAGGGUUAGGGUUUUAUUUUUUGUAUUUUUCUAAUGUAUAAAAAUUGCCCCCUCCUUGUGCAAGUGUUGAAAACUCCUAUUUAUAGGCAAAUAUGUUGCUAGGUCUUCAAACUUGGUCCCUCAACUUCUUUCUUUUUGUAAAUUUGAUUUUUUUCUUAA